GCUCAGAACACAGAAGUACACAGCCGAGUCGCUCCAGUGCACAGAGGCUUUCCGCAGGUGGAAGGAAGAGUUACUCUUGCUGAACUCAGCCUCAAAGCCAUUCACUCCUUGAACCACUGGGUCUCCGGAAUAGUACUUGAGGAGCAGCUGCAGCCCCUGCCGCGGGUACUGGACAUACCAGAACAGAUAAGGUGUCCCAGAGGAGGAAUACUUGCAUCUCAGCUGCAGAGAGGCUCCUUCAGAGACAGUGACGCGAGCAUCGGGCUGCGUCACUGACUGAGCUUGGGCAUCUCCUGCAAGAAUAUUAGGUCAGGAACUGUAGUGCAGACUUCACUGAGGACAGUCAGGAUCCGGGGAUACAGAGACCACAAGAAAGCUGUACUCACUCAGGACAAAGUGUAUCCCCAGCACUGGGAGGAGCGCCAGGAGCAUGGCUGAGCCUUGGGAAGGCUGCAGCUCUGUUGUGGAGGAAUUCUGGAACAGGACAGGCAGGAAAGCGGCUGAGGAAAGCAAGAGCUUGAAAGCAGGUGUAGGGAAGAGUCUGCUGGAGAAGUCUCCCGUAUACAUAAAAACUGACGCUGCAAACACGAGCCUGGAAGGUUUUGAAUAUCUGAUUCUUGUCACUUGCCUUUGCUAAAUACUCAGCCAGCUGCAAGAAGGAUGAGAUAUGAGCAGGUGGAGAUCUUCAAAGGAGGAGGGAACACUAGUGAGUGCAGCAGCGCCCUCUGGAGGCCACAUGAGGAAACAAAUGUCUUGAGGGUCCACAGUUUGCCUCCUGCUGUGUUUCCAUUUCAGAGACAUGGAAAACUUUGACAAAGCAGAUUGUAGUGCUGCCAUUACAUCUUGGGACAAAUAAGACACAAAAGGUUAGGAUUUUAGUAGUUGUACUGGCUAGUUUUGUGUCAACUUGACACAGCUGGAGUUAUCACAGAAAAAGGAGCUUCAGUUGAGAAAAUGCCUCCAGGAGCUCCAACUGUAAGGCAUUUUCUCAAUUAGUGAUCAAGGGGGAAAGGCCCCUUGUUGGUGGGAAUAUCUCUGGGCUGGUAGUCUUUGGUUUUACAAGAGAGCAGGCUGAGCAAGCCAGGGGAAGCAAGCCAGUAAAGAACAUCCCUCCAUGGCCUCUGCAUCAGCUCCUGCUUCCUGCCCUGCUGGAGUUACAGUCCUGACUUCCUUGGUGAUGAGCAGCAGUAUGGAAGUGUAAGCUGAAUAAACCCUUUCCUCCCAAACUUGUUUCUUGGUCAUGAUGUUUUGUGCAGGAAUAGAAACCCUGACUAAGACAAAUUGGUACCAGCAGAGUGGGGUAUUCCUGUGACAACCUGACUGUGUUUUAGGGAGGACUGUGCAAGGACUUUGGAACUUUGGGCUUGAAGAUCCAUUUGUUGUUAAGAGCUCUGUCAGAUGUUGUGUAGGAGCUUGGAAGAUAAUGUUGAGAACAGUGUAGAAGAUGGAGGUCUGGCUUGUGAAAUUUCAGAGGGACAAUUAAAGACUUUUCAGGUCCAUUGCUAUUUCGAUUGCGACAAUUCUGUGGUUCUGGUUAGCUGGGGCUGAAGAAUCAGCUGUGAUUAACAAGAUACCAGAACUACUAAAGCAAAACCUUUGCAGUACUGGGACUAUUGAUGCUGGUUAGCUGGAGCUAAGAAAUUAGCGGUGAUAAAGAAGAGACCAGCAUCGUUGAGGUGACAUCUUCUGGGAAGUGUUUUCUGAAAGCACAAAGAGGCUGUGUUCCAGAGAUAGCCAAGGUUGUACUCCUGCUGCAGCGGGACUUGGCAAUGUGUAAGGGUCACCCAGGUGGUACUGGUUUUGAAGGCAUGAAGGGGUCACUCAGAGCAGCUGAGGCUCGGCACUGUGAGAGGCCAUGGGAGGCCAUUGGUGAAGGUGCAGCCUCAGUUGCAAUUGAUGGCCAGGACUGGAGGGGUCAUGCAGUGUUUUGGAGAUGCCAGUACCAUGAGAUGACCACCAAGAGCAGCAGCAGUGGAGUACAGCCAUCUGAAGCCUAGAGGACGACGUGUGUGCUACAAAGGGCAUGGCUGGAGAAGUGACCCAAGCCCUUGGAGGAGCCCAGAAGAUCGUGAGUUGGAUCCCAGACAUUGGAUGGUUAGAGAUUGAUUUUUGUUUUUGAUUGUGACUGUGCCCUGAUAUUUUCCCUCUUGACCGAAGAAACUAUUUUAGUGGAGCCCAUAGUUAAGAGACUUUUAAUUGUAAAAAGACUUUGGAUUUUAAAAGAUAUUGGACAUUUUAAAGGGAUUGACUUUUAAUAUGUAAAGACUGUGGGACUUUUAAAGUUGUUUAGAUCUUGGGAAUUAAGGGAUGAGGCUUACUAGUGAUGUGUUUGUGUGUCAAGUUGACAAGGGGUCAAUUGUACUGGCUAGUUUUGUGUCAACUUGACACAGCUGGAGUUAUCACAGAAAAAGGAUCUUCAGUUGAGGAAAUGCCUCCAUGAGCUCCAACUGUAAGGCAUUUUCUCAAUUAGUGAUCAAGGGGGAAAGGCCCCUUGUGGGUGGGACCAUCUCUGAGUUGGUAAUCUUGGUUCUACAAGAGAGCAGGCUGAGCAAGCCAGUAAAGAACAUCCCUCCAUGACCUCUGCAUCAGCUCCUGCUUCCUGCCCUGCUUGAGUUACAGUCCUGACUUCCUUGGUGAUGAACAGCAGUAUGGAAGUGUAAGCUGAAUAAACCCUUUCCUCCCCAACUUGUUUCUUGGUCAUGAUGUUUGUGUAGGAAUAGAAACCCUGAAUAAGACAGUUAGUGAUGGUUUAUGUGUCAAGAAGAAAAUAUGUCAACUUGUUUUGGCUUUUCUCAACUUGACACAAGCAAGAGUAAUCUGGAAAAAGGGAACCUUAACUGAUAAUAAAAAACAAAACACAUAUCAAUUGGCAUGUAGGGAAAUGUAUGGAGCAUUUUCCUGGUGAUCAAUGUGAGAAUGCCAAGCCAACUGUGGCAGUGUGACUCCUGGUCUGGUAGUUCUGUGUUGUUUAAAAAUAAGUCUCCUGAAACACGAGGACCAAGUCAGUUAGCGGUGCCCCUCCAUGGUUCUGUUUCAGAUCCUGACUCUGGGUUCUUCCUUGACUUCCCUUGAUGAUGGACCGUAACCUGUGAGUCAAAUAAACUCUUUGCUCUCC
rnacentral:lncRNA from 1 species